rnacentral:rRNA from 1 species
AGUGAACGUUGGCGGCGUGCCUAAUACACGCAAGUCGAACGGAAUUUAAAAGAGCUUGCUCUUUUAAAUUUAGUGGCGCACGGGUGAGUAAUAUAUAGCUAAUCUGCCCCUUGCUGGAGGACAACAGUUAGAAAUGACUGCUAAUACUCCAUACUCCUUUUUACCAUAAGAUAAAUCGGGAAAGAAUUUCGGCAAGGGAUGAGACUAUAUCGUAUCAGCUAGUCGGUGGGGUAACGGCCUACCGAGGCUAUGACGCGUAACUGGUCUGAGAGGAUGAUCAGUCACAUUGGAACUGAGACACGGUCCAAACUCCUACGGGAGGCAGCAGUAGGGAAUAUUGCGCAAUGGGGGAAACCCUGACGCAGCAACGCCGCGUGGAGGAUGACACUUUUCGGAGCGUAAACUCCUUUUGUUAGGGAAGAAUAAUGACGUUACCUAACGAAUAAGCA